rnacentral:lncRNA from 1 species
UCUCUCCCUUCCUUCCUCUCUCUAUUUCUCUUAAUAGCAUAUAAAUGAGUUGAAAGCAGAAACUCAUAAUAUUCAUGCUCAAGUCACUUUGAACUAGGAUAUAAUUAUGCUUACAACAUAGUAGCCACUCAGUAAAUAGCUACUGGGUUAAUACACAUACUGUUUUUCAUUAGAAUGCUUCUGGAAUUUAUUUAAGUUAACAAAUAUUUAUUUUUCAGAGCCUCUGAAAGCUGUAAUGGACAAUAAGAAGAUGAGUAGGGCAUGUUUCCUAUCUCAAAUAAGUGGAAUAGGAUUUGCACAGAAAAAAUAACUGCAAGGCAAAAUACGACCUGUGUCACAUAAGAAACAGAAUCUGGUCUGUUGGGGGCUUCUCAGAGACAAAGAGAUGAUGGUCCACAGGAUGGAGCAUCUCUCUGACACUUCCAGUGUGUAUUUUAGGGAGGAACACCUUUCCAUCAUUAUUGGGGAGGUUGGAACAAAGAAGGGGAAAAACAAUGGCAGUUCUUAUCUUUCAGGUAGCUGUAUGGUGAGCAUUCCUCUCCCAGCAAUCUGUUGUUCUUUGUGAGCAGACUGGAGUGUGACAGCUGUGAAAACGAUCAAAGGCAGGUCCCAGACAGGAGAGGGCUGAUGACAAUGCCAGUUUCCCUCUAAGACCCUGUGGACAGCAGGGCCAUGAGGGAUGCUGUGACACAGAGUCUUGCUUGAUGCAGUGUGUGGUGUUACUCACAGGAGUGGGUUCAGCCACUCUUGGUGUGAAACCCAAGGAAAAUGUCUCUGCCGCAGCUGAUGUCAACAUGUACAGCAUGUGACCAGCUUGCAUUCAGAAAGGAGAUGUGUGUAUGAGUUCUGCAGAAGUCCACCAAAUGUGGGCCAGGGUUAUUUCCCUGGUGAUGCUCUGAAGCUUUUGCCAAAGGACAAAUGGAAACAGGAAGUACAAUCAUGCACUGGGGUAAAGAAGAUUCAUCUGCUCUUAGCUACCUACCAUGCCAACACUCCUGAGAAAGCUCACAGAGGCCCAUGAUGCCCACCUGGAUCUGAGGACCUAGAAAGCCACAACAGGCAACCAUAAUCUGGGUCUUCCCUCAGCCAACUCCCCUGCAUAAAGUGAAUGAAUGAAAAACCCAUCUUAUAUUAAUCAGAGUUCUCUAGAGAAAAAGAACCAAUCAGAUGUGUAUAUAUAGAAAGAGAGAAUUAUUUUAGGGAAUUAGCUCACAUCAUUAUGCAGGCUGGUCAAUCAAAAAUCUGUGGAGUGGGCUAGCAGGCUGGAGACCCAGGGAAAGGCUAAAUUGCAGUUUAGAUCAGAAGGUCAUCUACUGGCAGAAUUCCCUCAUCUUCCAGGAAGGUGGAUCUUUUUCUACCAAGGCCUUCAGUUUAUUAGAUUAGGCCCAUGAACAUGCUGGAGGGUAAUCUGCUUUACUCAAUACAUACUGAUUUGAAUGUUAGUAUCAUCAAAAAGACCUUCACAGAAACAUCUAAAAUAAUGUUUGACCAAAUGUCUGCAUACCAUGGCCAAGCCAAGUUUACACAUAAAAUUAAUUAUCACACAUCCCACGAACACCAUCCCCAACAGAUGCUCAUGAGCAUUGUGGUUAUGAUUUCAACUUCAGAAUAAGGCAGAAAUGUGUACAAAUCCUGACCCUUUGACUUAUCAGCUCUCUAAAAAUCAUUAUAUGUCAACUUUCUAGACUUUACCUGAAAAACAGAAACCAAGAUACCCACAGCAUAAGAUUGUUAGGAUUGAAGAAAUUGUUACGAUUGUUAGGUAUGAAGAAAUUUAAACAAUGAUGCAGCUGAGAUAUUUAGAAUUGUACCUGGCAUGUACUUUGUAUUAAAUAACUAAUAAGGCCUUUUUCUGGUGAAAACAAAAUAAGCCUGGAUAAAAGAAGAUGAGACCAGAUUGGUUGAUGGCUCGGCCUGGGUGGGCUCCUGGCCCAUCUGAAAUUACAUUACUCUUAUGUAGUGCCUUUUUUGUUAUUGCUAAAAUAAAAUAAAUAAAACACUCUACUUUCA